rnacentral:rRNA from 1 species
AGUGAACGCUGGCGGUAGGCCUAACACAUGCAAGUCGAACGGCAGCACAGUAAGAGCUUGCUCUUACGGGUGGCGAGUGGCGGACGGGUGAGGAAUACAUCGGAAUCUACUUUUUCGUGGGGGAUAACGUAGGGAAACUUACGCUAAUACCGCAUACGACCUACGGGUGAAAGCAGGGGAUCUUCGGACCUUGCGCGAUUGAAUGAGCCGAUGUCGGAUUAGCUAGUUGGCGGGGUAAAGGCCCACCAAGGCGACGAUCCGUAGCUGGUCUGAGAGGAUGAUCAGCCACACUGGAACUGAGACACGGUCCAGACUCCUACGGGAGGCAGCAGUGGGGAAUAUUGGACAAUUGGCGCAAGCCUGAUCCAGCCAUACCGCGUGGGUGAAGAAGGCCUUCGGGUUGUAAAGCCCUUUUGCUGGGAAAGAAAAGCAGCAGGUUAAUACCCCGCUGUUCUGACGGUACCCAAAGAAUAAGCACCGGCUAACUUCGUG